rnacentral:tRNA from 1 species
UGCGGGGUGACUGGAGUGGCUCCAGCACGGUCUCAUAAAUCGUAUGACGCGGGUUCGAAUCCCGCCCCCGCUACAA